rnacentral:rRNA from 2 species
UACGGAGGGUGCAAACGUUGCUCGGAAUCAUUGGGCGUAAAGCGCACGUAGGCGGCGGCGUAAGCGGGAUGUGAAAGCCCAGGGCUCAACCCUGGAAGUGCAUCCCGAACUGUGUCGCUUGAAUCUCGGAGGGGGACAGAGAAUUCCCGGUGUAGAGGUGAAAUUCGUAGAUAUCGGGAGGAAUACCAGUGGCGAAGGCGCUGUCCUGGACGAAGAUUGACGCUGAGGUGCGAAAGCGUGGGGAGCAAACAGG